UCCAAGGCCUCCCGUCCGGUCUGGUGGUGGUCCUUCGUUUUUCUUUACACUACUAAUACUUAAGCUACAUGGCUUCGGUGUUCUCUAGAGAAACUAAAUAUGUACAAGGAAGGCCAGAGUCUUCAAGGGCGUCGUAUUCUUUGUCGUGCUCCAUUGCUGCUCCUGGUACACAUCAGUUACUGUAUGGUAUUUGUCUGAGUACUGGAAAUGUGAAACCGAUAAAAGGAAGGAGGCUCGGGCGGAGGAAGCAUUCCAUGCUCCAGAGGCUCACCACUCACGCGCUCACCACCACAGGAUCAGAGGAGCUGAAUACAUUAUUUUAUUCAGCUUGGUGGCCUGUUCAACGUCUUUAUGGAUGGAGCUGUCCUUCCUCAGGCACUUCAAGGAGUCGCUUUCUAUCUGCCAGCGAACAUCAAGCCUUAUGAAAUCUCAAGCUGCAUUUUCUGAUGGAUCUGGCUGGAUUUGGUAUAUGCAACAACGUCCUCUGGCCAAUGAUGUAACUGUUGCUUCAGGAUUUACAUUUACAGCGGACUGUUGUUUGUGUCUCUACUGGCUCCUUGACGCAUUCUCGCCUUUCUUCCUUGCGAGCUGAGAAUGUUGUCAGCCCAGGCGAUGACGAUGGUAAAUCCUCUUAAGUUUGGGCUCGUAUUUUCAGGACGUGAGUGUUACUGAUGCCCGUUGGCUACAGUAUAUUGACAACUUUUUACCGUGAUUGAGAGAAUGCAUGGCCGUAGCGAAGAAGAAAAGUUUCAUGACUACCAAUUCUUCGCGGUGAAAAAGAUUUUUUCUUUUUCUUCUUCCUUUGUUUACUGCUGACUUCCUUUGCGUGUGUUUUCAGGAUCCUUGUUCAUUUCUCGUGUCCAUCAGACGCGCUCACCGCUUUCGCCAUUUCCCGCGCAGCACAAGCAUUGUUUUAAAACUCCAAAGCUUCGAGAGUAGUCGCGGGCGCCGCGUGUCUACCAAAGACAAGCAAGAGAACAUCGAAUGUCUAGAAACUCCAUCAACGCGAGGCGAGAGGGGGAGAGCGAGAGAGCGGCCGUGUUGAUCCAACAAGAGCAAGCAAAAAAAGAUAAGUAUAACAGGAAGAAGAAAAGCUCAAACAAGAAGACGAGUAGUAGGCGUUACGUGAAAUCGACGUUGACAUGAAAAGACGACGACAAGCAAGCCGGAUGAGACAUCAAUUCGCAUGGCGAGAUUUUUAUAAGUUUCAAGGCGCCAUGGAUUGCUACAACUUUUUUUAUGCGGGUCGAUCGAGAUCGAGAGCUGGAUUGGAUGUUGGGGGAGAGUACACUUCUUCGUUUUGUUGGAGAACGAAGAAAUCGUCUCUAAGAAGUCGGACUGGUCUUCGCAAAUGAUUUCAGGGACGGUUUGUUUAAGCUAUUGAAGAGAUCAAUGCAUAGAUUCUCAAAGAGAGAGGCAAACGGAAUUAUUUGCAGUUUAGAUUAAGAUGAUAACUAAAACUGUUUCUA